GUCACACUGCACUGAGGGAACAGAAGAUUGGCCAAGCCCUGGAUGAUCUGCUCUCCAGGCUUUGUCCCCUGGCCAACCAGCCUGGUAUUGCUGUUGUCCUGCUUGCUUUUGGAAUUAAUAAGGCUUUUCCUCAACUCUGGGACAGCUCAAUUUCUUGCAUUAGAGAGCACUUCAACUCCUGUAAAGGAAGUGAAUUUAAGAUGACACCUAAAUGAAAGGUUCUGUCUUUCAUGUUACACUGAGGAUUGGAGGUUUGUGAGGGGAAGAGUGACUCUGAACAUUGAAUGAGAAUUACUGAGCCACGUACACAGAGGCUGUUUCUAUUUUGAUGUUGACCUUUUGUGUUGAGAACAUCAAUCAGAGACCUUAAAAAAUGGAUUCAUAAUUGCACUUUUCAG